GGGGAUUUAACUCAGUGGUAGAGUGUUUGCCUAGCAAGCGCAAGGCCCUGGGUUCAGUCCCCA
rnacentral:tRNA from 1 species